CCUACGGGAGGCUGCAGUGAGGAAUAUUGGUCAAUGGACGAGAGUCUGAACCAGCCAAGUAGCGUGAAGGAUGACUGCCCUAUGGGUUGUAAACUUCUUUUAUAUGGGAAUAAAAUGUUCCACGUGUGGGAUUUUGUAUAUACCAUAUGAAUAAGGAUCGGCUAACUCCGUGCCAGCAGCCGCGGUAAUACGGAGGAUCCGAGCGUUAUCCGGAUUUAUUGGGUUUAAAGGGAGCGUAGGUGGAUUGUUAAGUCAGUUGUGAAAGUUUGCGGCUCAACCGUAAAAUUGCAGUUGAAACUGGCAGUCUUGAGUACAGUAGAGGUGGGCGGAAUUCGUGGUGUAGCGGUGAAAUGCUUAGAUAUCACGAAGAACUCCGAUUGCGAAGGCAGUUCACUGGACUGCAACUGACACUGAGGCUCGAAAGUGUGGGUAUCAAACAGGAUUAGAUACCCGAGUAGUC
rnacentral:rRNA from 1 species